rnacentral:rRNA from 1 species
GAUGAACGCUGGCUACAGGCUUAACACAUGCAAGUCGAGGGGAAACGACGGGGAAGCUUGCUUCCCCGGGCGUCGACCGGCGCACGGGUGAGUAACGCGUAUCCAACCUGCCUCUGACUGGGGGAUAACCCGUCGAAAGUCGGCCUAAUACCUCAUGGUAUCGUCUGCGGGCAUCCAACGACGAUUAAAGAUUUCAUCGGUCAGGGAUGGGGAUGCGUCUGAUUAGCUUGUUGGCGGGGUAACGGCCCACCAAGGCUACGAUCAGUAGGGGUUCUGAGAGGAAGGUCCCCCACAUUGGAACUGAGACACGGUCCAAACUCCUACGGGAGGCAGCAGUGAGGAAUAUUGGUCAAUGGGCGAGAGCCUGAACCAGCCAAGUAGCGUGCAGGAAGACGGCCCUAUGGGUUGUAAACUGCUUUUAUGCGGGGAUAAAGUGAGGGACGUGUCCCUCAUUGCAGGUACCGCAUGAAUAAGGACCGGCUAAUUCCGUG